rnacentral:misc_RNA from 1 species
CCUCCUCCCAUUGAUCCUUCUCCACUCGGCAAUAAUAAUGGCGGACACGCAGCCGCCGCCGCUCCCCUACUCGUACGUGCCGCUGCCGGCCGCCGACGCCGCGUCUGCCGACGUUUCCGGCGCCGGCAGCAGGAGGCAGGCCCUCUGCGCGGCGGCGCUCGGGCUCCUCGCCGUGGCCGCGCUCGCCGGCGUCGUCCCCGUCCCCGGCCGCGGCGCGGUGGGAAUGCCAGAGACGGCCUCGUCGCCGAGGAGCAGCAGCAGGGGCCCCGAGGCCGGCGUGUCGGAGAAGACGUCCGGCGCAUGGGACGGCAGGAUCCGUGGCGCGGCGGCGGCGGGCGGCGGCGGGAACGCGUUCCCGUGGAGCAAUGCCAUGCUGCAGUGGCAGCGCACGGGCUUCCACUUCCAGCCGCAAAAGAACUGGAUGAACGACCCCAAUGGCCCCGUCUACUACAAGGGCUGGUACCACCUCUUCUACCAGUACAACCCCGACGCCGCCGUCUGGGGCAACAAGAUCGCGUGGGGCCACGCCGCGUCCCGCGACCUCGUCCACUGGCGCCACCUCCCGCUGGCCAUGGUCCCCGACCACUGGUACGACACCAACGGCGUCUGGACGGGCUCCGCCACCACGCUCCCCGACGGCCGCCUCGCCAUGCUCUACACCGGCUCCACCAACGCCUCCGUCCAGGUGCAGUGCCUGGCCGUCCCCGCCGACGACGCCGACCCGCUGCUCACCAACUGGACCAAGUACGAGCGCAACCCGGUGCUGUACCCGCCACGCGGCAUCGGGCCCAGGGACUUCCGCGACCCCACCACGGCGUGGCUCGACCCCUCGGACGGCGCCUGGCGCAUCGUCAUCGGCUCCAAGGACGACCACGACCACGACCACGCGGGCAUCGCCGUCGUCUACCGCUCCAGGGACCUCGUGCACUUCGACCUCCUCCCGGGCCUGCUCCACCGCGUCGUAGGCACGGGCAUGUGGGAGUGCAUCGACUUCUACCCCGUCGCCACCACCGGCGGCGUCGACAUGUCCGACACAAGUAUCGGCACGAACGACGUCCUGCACGUCAUCAAGGCCAGCAUGGACGACGACCGCCACGACUACUACGCGCUCGGCAGGUACGACGCGGCCGCCAACGCCUGGACGCCGCUGGACGCCGCCAGGGACGUCGGCCUCGGCCUGCGCUGUUGGGAAUAGUCCCACAUUGUGUGGUGAGAAUGUGAUAGCAUGGUUUAUAAGGUUGAGGGUGCAACCCCUAAUAGGCUAGCUUUUUGGGGGAAUGUUGGCCCAAGAGACCUAAAAGUCCGCUGCUAUACGUGCGGGCGCGUGUGUCGCGGCCCGACAGCCUGAGUGGGCGCGCCGUGUUUGCGGGGGCGGCCCCGACGGACACGCCAUGUGUCGGCGGUCCGGUUCCAACAAUUGGUAUCGGAGCCAGGUUGGCCCAGUGCAUUCUCAGACAAAUCUCGGCUCACAAUGUGUGAGGGGGAGAUUGUUGGGAAUAGUCCCACAUUGUGUGGUGAGAAUGUGAUAGCAUGGUUUAUAAG